rnacentral:rRNA from 1 species
AUUGAACGCUGGCGGCAUGCCUUACACAUGCAAGUCGAACGGUAACAGGUCUUCGGAUGCUGACGAGUGGCGAACGGGUGAGUAAUACAUCGGAACGUGCCUAGUAGUGGGGGAUAACUACUCGAAAGAGUGGCUAAUACCGCAUGAGAUCUACGGAUGAAAGCAGGGGAGCGCAAGACCUUGUGCUAAUAGAGCGGCCGAUGGCAGAUUAGGUAGUUGGUGGGAUAAAAGCUUACCAAGCCGACGAUCUGUGGCUGGUCUGAGAGGACGAUCAGCCACACUGGGACUGAGACACGGCCCAGACUCCUACGGGAGGCAGCAGUGGGGAAUUUUGGACAAUGGGCGCAAGCCUGAUCCAGCAAUGCCGCGUGCAGGAUGAAGGCCUUCGGGUUGUAAACUGCUUUUGUACGGAACGAAAAGCCCUGGGUUAAUACCCUGGGGUCAUGACGGUACCGUAAGAAUAAGCACCGGCUAACUACGUGCCAGCCGCCGCCGUAA